GCCGCUUUAGCUCAGCUGGUAGAGCAACUGAUUUGUAAUCAGUAGGUCGUUGGUUCGAUUCCGACAAGCGGCUCCA
rnacentral:tRNA from 1 species